rnacentral:rRNA from 1 species
GAGUUUGAUCGUGGCUCAGGAUGAACGCUGGCGGCGUGCUUAACACAUGCAAGUCGAGCGAAGCGAUUUAGCGGAAGUUUUCGGAUGGAAGUUAGAUUGACUGAGCGGCGGACGGGUGAGUAACGCGUGGGUAACCUGCCUCAUACAGGGGGAUAACAGUUAGAAAUGACUGCUAAUACCGCAUAAGCGCACGGGGACGCAUGUUCUUGUGUGAAAAGCCGAGACGGUAUGAGAUGGACCCGCGUCUGA